GUGAGAACAUUUAAGAUCUACUCUCUUAGCAACUUUCAAGUCCACGAUACAUGUUUUCCUUUUUUUUUCUUUUUAGGGCCGCACCUGUGGCACAUGGAAGUUCCAGGCCUACAGGUCAAAUCGGAGCUGCCGCUGCCGGCCUAUAGAUGCCACAGCCACAGCAACACCUGAUCCGAGCUGCAUCUGCCACCGAUGCUGCAGCUUGUGGCAAAGCAGGAUCCUUAACCCACUGAGUGAGGCCAGGGAUCAAACCCACAUCCUCACGGACACUAUGUUGGGUCCUUAACCCACUGAGCCACAAUGGGAACGCCAAUACACUGCUGUUAAUUAUAGUCCCCAGGCUGUACAUUAGAUCCCAGAACUUAUGCCUCCUACAACUGGAAGUUUGUACCCUUGGUCCAACAUCUCCCAUGUCCCCCACCGCCCAGCCCCUGGCAACCUCCAUUCUCUCUGCUUAAGAUUAUGUUUUAAAAUGAAAGCAAAUCAUAACCCUCAGAGAGGUUUUCCCUUCACAUCACAUGGGUGUCAGUUGGAAAAACUUCAGAUGAGACAUGGAACCUUUAAAAAAAAACCCAAUAUGCCCAUCAGAUAUUUCUCUGCUCUCCAAAAGGACUUCUCUGCAGAAGGAAAGGCUAAGAAUUAAAGCCCCACCUUUUCAGUUCAAAUCCACGGUGACUUCUAAGCUAGCAUUCCCAAGCCCCAGUUAAAGGUUAACCCAACAAUGGAGGAACAGAAUGGGGGUGGGGAUGGAUCCUGCAUUAAUUAAGGCAAGACAGUCACUACCCUGGGGAGGUGAAGCUUAUUAGAGACUUGCAGCCAUGCUAGAGGCCGUAAAUUACUUAGAGGCAUGACCGAGGAGUAAUCCAAUAAUCCAUUUAUUACUUUAAAUAAAUCUGGCUCCACACGAAAGCCCUUCUGAGUUUACAAACCUAUAAUAUUCACAGCAACUGGCCCCAAAUCAACGGGGGGCCAUCAUGUCCAGCCCAGCCUCUGCCUGGUGUUCACAGCACAGAAAAUUAACCAGAGGCAAGCAGUCAAUACUAUAUUAUCUCCUGCACUGCAGUUAUUUAUUCUAUUUGCUGCUCUUCUUUUCACGUCCAUGCCAAGUACAACACUAGCCAGUCUAACCCCUGCAAACAACCUCUUGACUCUUUCUGUGGAGUCAUGAAAGUUUAAAAAGGCAAAUACUAACAUAGGUCCACUGCAGUUAGGAAAAAAUAUUUUUCAAAGAAAAUGAAAAAAAAAAAAAAACCCUACUCGGCAGAAUUACAGUUGUAUCUCCCAUGUCCAUAAAAACAUAGGAUUCAUUCCAUCCAAAGAUCACAGGAUGAGUUUCAGUGAAAUAUGUGCAAGCUUGGAAGUCUGGUCUAAAUCCAGUAAUUCCCAAAACAGCACACAAACAUCUUUUUUGUUUGGCCAUACC
rnacentral:lncRNA from 1 species